AUUGAACGCUAGCGGCAGGCCUAACACAUGCAAGUCGAACGAGUGGCGGACGGGUGAUUAAUGUCUGGGAACCUGCCUGAUGGAGGGGUAUCACUACUGGAAGCGGUAGCUAAUACCGCAUACCGUCAGCUGUGCCCAAAUGGGAUUAGCUUGUUGGUGGGGUAACGGCUCACCAAGGCGACGAUCCCUAGCUGGUUUGAGAGGAGGACCAGCCACACUGGAACUGAGACACGGUCCAGACGCCUACGGGAGGCAGCAGUGGGGAAGUUUGCACAAUGGGCGAAAGCCUGAUGCAGCCAUGCCGCGUGUAUGAAGAAGGCCUUCGGGUUGUAAAGUACUUUCAGCGGGGAGGCGGUACCCGCAGAAGAAGCACCGGCUAACUCCGUGCCAGCAGCCGCGGUAAUUC
rnacentral:rRNA from 1 species